CGUGUAGGUGGUGGGACAAGUCUGCUGUGAAAGCGCCUGGCUUAACCGGGCGAGGUCGGCGGAAACUGUUCGACUGGAGGACGGUAGAGGGGGGUGGAAUUCCCGGUGUAGUGGUGAAAUGCGUAGAGAUCGGGAGGAACACCUGUGGCGAAGGCGGCCCCCUGGGCCGGCCCUGACACUGAGACGCGAAGGCGUGGGGAGCGAACGGGAUUAGAUACCCCGGUAGUCCACGCAGUAAACGAUGCAUACUAGGUGUGGGGGGUAUCGAGCCCCUCCGUGCCGCAGCUAACGCAAUAAGUAUGCCGCCUGGGGAGUACGGCCGCAAGGUUAAA
rnacentral:rRNA from 1 species